UACAGUUUGGUAUAUUUGAAUUUACUUAAAAGUCGGUACCUUGAAGGUUACCAGCUUAUGCUUGAGUUUUCUCAUCCUUUUCAUCCAGGGACAAGUUACAAUUGUUAAGACAACGUUAUUACUACGCCACCUGGAAAGCUGAUGGAACACGGUAUAUGAUGUUAAUAACUAUGGAUGGAUGCUACUUAAUUGAUCGACAUUUCCAUUUCAGAAGGGUCCAGAUGAGAUUUCCUUGCAGACAGACUAAUGAAGGAUCAGCUGAGAAGGUUCAUCAUUUCACAUUACUUGAUGGAGAAAUGAUAAUUGAUACCGUGCCUGACUC